GAGGGUAUAGCUUAGUGGUAGUCUGCGUGCUUGGCAUGCACGAGGUCCUGGGUUCAGUCCUCAGUACCUCCA
rnacentral:tRNA from 1 species